GAUGAACGCUGGCGGCGUGCCUAAUACAUGCAAGUCGAGCGAACGGACGAGAGGCUUGCUUCUCUGAUGUUAGCGGCGGACGGGUGAGUAACACGUGGAUAACCUACCUAUAAGACUGGGAUAACUUCGGGAAACCGGAGCUAAUACCGGAUAAUAUUUUGAACCGCAUGGUUCAAAAGUGAAAGACGGUCUUGCUGUCACUUAUAGAUGGAUCCGCGCUACAUUAGCUAGUUGGUAAGGUAACGGCUUACCAAGGCAACGAUGCAUAGCCGACCUGAGAGGGUGAUCGGCCACACUGGAACUGAGACACGGUCCAGACUCCUACGGGAGGCAGCAGUAGGGAAUCUUCCGCAAUGGGCGAAAGCCUGACGGAGCAACGCCGCGUGAGUGAUGAAGGUCUUCGGAUCGUAAAACUCUGUUAUUAGGGAAGAACAUAUGUGUAAGUAACUGUGCACAUCUUGACGGUACCUAAUCAGAAAGCCACGGCUAACUACGUG
rnacentral:rRNA from 1 species